AUUUCCAGGCUGGCAGCAUUUGAUUUACUUUUUGCUGUCUCUGAAAUUGUAUAAUUAGUUCCCAAGUUACGACGCCUGUGAAGUCUCUGCCUUGUUGGGGGUGGGAGAUGUGGAGUUACAGCUGCAGCCAUCGUUCUGGCAAAGAUAGCUUCCCCUUGAGAAAAUUAAUUUUUAACAUAGAAAUGAAUACCAAGCAGAAUUCCCCUAGAAAAUGGGCAACGCUUGGAAGACGCCUCUCAGGGCGCUGCUAAGCUGUCUUUGGUAAAAGGAGCUCUCUAGUGUCCAGCUGUAACACUGCAGUUCAGGAAGAUGCUAUGAGCACUCAACUUAGUCAAAUAGAUGUGUAAAGCAAAUGGAAAGCCUGUGUCUCUUCUUUUAGGUACUCAGUGCUAAUGCAUAAAGUGCAAAGUGCUACUUAAACAUCACAAUCACUCAAACCAAUACUGUACUCAAAAGUUUUAAGGCACAGUGCAGAGGUCUCAUUCAUUCUCAUCUGCCUUUCUCCACCCAUGUUUUAAAGGAACUUCUGCUGCACCGAUGAAGCGGCUCCUCUUUUAUCUGUGGAGCAAGGAUGUGUGUGCAUGUCUGCCAACAUUCAGGCCAUCAAAAAAGGGUUUAACAUUUUACUGUGCUCCCCUUAGAGACAGCAAAUUUCUUGCCAUUUGGGGUUCUAAGGUCAUGUGUACGUACUGGUUUGCGGUGCUGUAUCUGGUACAAGUGAACACCUAAUUGCAGCUGCUGGCUUGUAGUGCAUGCACCUCGUUAAAUAAAAUUGUCUCCUGAUUAGGUAAAAUUGUCUUGUGUCAGACAAAAUAAGCCCUUGGUCAUUAAUCCUGGGAAGCAAAUCACAAGAAAAAGGACGUGCGGCUGGUAGGAUACAAAAGCAGGUAGUCCCUCUCUCUUUCUAAAAUGAAGGCUUUAACACUUUAAUUAGCAGCUAUUACACAGGUUUGAGUGCAUGCUAGAAUAACAAUAUAUUGCCUUUACACUGCUUUUAAUGCUUGCAUUUUGUUUUUUCAACAGGUCCAUGAUGAUCUCAAUAAUGUUAAUAAAAAUGAACUAAAAAGUCUAUUUGGUUAUCAUGGGAUAUCGCAGAUGGAGAAUAAUGACUUGGCAAAUUGGCAAGCUGAGAUUAUCUGCAAAUAUUAUGAGAGACACUAGAAGGUCUUAUAAAAUACACCAUCAUUUUUAAUAGCAUUUUGCUAUUAUGGUACCUCCCUUGUGCAUACUGCAGUUUAAUAUUGCAAGUAUGAAAAACGAUGCCAUAGUUGAAGCUUUGCCACUGAAAAGCACCAUCUUGUGUUUCCUAUGCUCCACUUCCCACAGCAAGGCUUAUUCUAGAGUAGAAAAUAAAUUAAGGUGUAAUAAUUAACUAGAUGUGUUUCAAAGGCAAGAACUCCCACACAGGGCUAAGUUUCUCACCUUUAAUCACCACCAACAAAAUGACAGUGGAUUUCCUGCAAUUUACUGUGAGAAAGAAAUUUAAACCUUUUGCCUUUAGAUGUGUUCGCAGCAUUUUUUCCUUUUGCCAUUCUCGACCUUCAUUUUCUGAGCUCAGCUUACAGAGAAGUUAUCAUCUUAGUGGCUAAGAAACAAUUCCAAGACUAUAAGACACAAACAGCAAAGAAUCCUGCCAGAUUCAGGUCAGUCAUGACAAUAAUAGUUUUUCUCCACUUAGCAUUUCAGCUCAGAAUUAAGGUAAACACUCUUGAUAAACACAAAACCUAUCAGUACAUUGUUAUGUCUAAGCAACCUGUGGAAUAUCUAAGAUACAGCAGCCCAUUUUUCCUUUAUUUUUUCAAAUCUGCAGGCACGGUGGCAAUGGCUUAACCAUUCUCUUGGCUUUUUUUUCAAAAUAAAACAAACUGUAGAUAUUUUCAGACCAGGAAGCUAAAGCAAACUCAUCCUUACCUCCUCAGUAAACUCUUUGUAAGAAGUCCUUGGAUGCUUAUUCACAAAAACAUGGGACUCUUUUUCAUUAAGAUUUAGGCUAGAAUGGGUCUGUUAAGAUCUUCUUGCCUGAAGUCCUGCAUAAUACAGGGUGGAGAAUUUCAGCAAAGUCCAUGACUAAUUUAAGAUUUAUUUGGGUCUUUGUAACCCACAAAAGCCCUCACUGCCUCCAGCUGAUGUCAAUGGAACAGUUGUUGAAUUCAGGUGAACUGGAGCAAAGCUUCAGAGAAGAGAGCAGUUCCUGGAGUCCCACAGUCAUUUGUCAGGCAAAACCUGGCAUUUUAAACCAUAUCAUCUUUGAAAAUGACAAACCAGAAGAUGUAUCUUAAUAAGAAGAAUAAACUCCAUAAUUUGGGACAGCACAGAACACACCUGGUUUCAUGCUUCAUUUCUACUUUUAAACAUAGAAGAGCCUCAGAGAAGCAUCUGCUGAGCUUCUGAUUUGAAUCAGCUGCAAGUACCUGCUUGCCAAAAGCAAGUCCAACUUAGAUGUGAAAUCAAGUAAAUCUCAGUAUUGCUGGGUCAGUUUCGUAUUUAGAUCGAAAACUGAUAGCGAGGCUGGACGGGUGGCAAAGACUUAUGGAAAUUUUCAUUAGAUGAAGAUUCGAAGUGGAUAAUUCUGUUGUUCCAUGAAUAGUUUCAAUCCAGUAAGCUGCAGUUUUAAAGCCUCGGAUGGCCAAGGGUUCUCACUGGAUUACCUCUGCUGGGAUGCACCCCACUCCAGCUAAGCAAAGAGCAGGACACCAGUGACCGAGGGGAGGUUCAUUGAAGCCAAGAUUCCAUCCUGUGCUGGAGAUUGUGACACGAGGCACUGGAAUCAUAGCUCUUGAAGACAUCAUGAUGGUGGUCUCCAUGCAGAGUGCUCAGCUUGCUCCAGCUCUGAGCUACAAAUUUGAAGAUCUGGACAGAAAUUAACUUUGUUUUGGUUUUUCUAAUCACCAAAGUCAGAAUUUUCCAUGGAGGGAAAAAUAUAUUUCGACUGAUUACAGCAGCAAAGACAUUGAGGCAACCAGGCCAACUGAAGUGCAGAUGUUUUAAGCCAUUUGCCCACUGAUGAUGGAAAAGGCUGUGGGUGUAGUUGGGAGAAGAACCCAAGAGCUCCAACCCUCAGCUUUACAUCUUUGGUUUUCACUUUCAUAAGGGUACUGUCAGUCCUACUGUUUCAAAGACAUGGAUGUAUGAAGCAUCCCCUUGGUUUGUGCUUUUUCAAAAAACUUAUCAACUUCUUUUUAAACAGGGUCAUUUUUAAGAGUCCUUUGUCUUUCACAGCCUCAAAAGUAUAACGCAAAAAGUUUUAACAUGUAAAGACAUAAUAUAGGGUCAUUUUUAUACUGACACUUGGUUGGGUUCAGAUUCAAAAUAGAUUGAGAUAUGCCUCUUUUUUGCAUAACUCCAAGCUCAGCUUCAAGCAUGUAAGUGGGAAAAUUAACAUUAAAAUGAAUCUUUAAACUGCAAUCACUUCGAAGAUGCAGAGCAUGAAGCAUUCAAAUGGCUCCCACCCAGUGACCCAGAUAAAACAGACAGAUCAGUACAGCAAUUUGGUUGCUAGAAUUUCAGAAACACAAAGAUGUGGAGGCUUUACUGAGCUCGCAGUUUAACUCUACAUUUGCACUCUAAUGCAGUUCAAAGAAAAAAAACGAAUGCCCAGACACUUCUUCCAUUGAACACCUCCAGGGAAGGAGACUCUACCACUUCUCUCGGCAACUUGUUCCAAUACCACUCUUUCGGUAAAGAAUUUUUUUAAAAUAUCCAGUCUAAACCUCCCCUGGUGCAACCUGAGGCCAUUUCCUCUUGUCCUAUCACUUGUUACUUGGGAGAACAGAUGAACACCCAUCUCACUACAACCUCCUUUUCAGGUAAUUGUGGAGAGCGAUGAGGUCUCCCCUCAGCCUUCGCUUCUCCAGGCUAAAUAAUCCCAGUUCCCUCAGCUGCUCCUUAUAAGACUUGUUCUCCAGACCCCUCACCAGCUUGGUUGACCUCCUCAACUCAGCAGCUCAAUGUCUUUCUUAUAGUGAGGGGCCCAAAACUAAACACAAUAUUCAAGGUACAGCCUCACCAGUGCUGAAUAUAGGGACACGAUCACUUCCCUGUUCCUGCUGGCUACAACAUUUUUUUAUACAAGCUGGGAUUCUGUUGGCCUUCUUGGCCACCGCAGCACACUGCUGGCUCAUGUUCAGUCAGCUGUCAACCAGCAACCCCAGGUCUUUUCCCACCAGGCAGCUUUCCAGCCACAUUUCCCCGGAUCUGUAGUGCUGCAUGGGGGUGUUGUAAGUAAAGUGCAGGACCUGGCACUUGGCCUUGUUGAACCUCAUACAACUGUCGUUGGCCCAUCUAUCCAGCCUGUUCAGAUCCCUCUGCAGAGCCUUCCUACCUUCAAUCAGAUCAACACUUCUGCCCAGUUUGGUAUCAUCUGCAAACUUACUGUGAGUGCACUCAAUCACCUCAUCUAGAUCAUUGAUAAAGAUAUGAAACAGAACCAGCCCCAGCAAUGAGCCCUGAGGAACACCACUUGUGAUCAGCUGUCAACUUUUUAACACUCUUCACCACAACUCUCUGUGCUCAGCCACCCAGCCAAUUUUUUACCCAGCAAAGAGUACACAUGUCUAAGCCAUGAUCUGCCAGCUCCUCUAGAAGAAUCUUUCAGGCCUGCAGUCCUGUAGUUCCCCAGAAAUUGGUAAUAUGAUGUAGACAUCAUUUAUGUUGACAUUGAA